GACGGAGUGGGUGAGACAGUUUGCACCAUUCAAUCACAUAAAAUCAAGCCGUCGGCUCUGCUACAUGGAAAAAGGAGCAUAUGUGUACGGGAGCAGGAUCAGUAUUAAAACACACACACGUGUGACUGUGGGUGUGUGACGAUGAACGUCUGUGAAGUGCGUGUCUUCAUAAAAGUGUGUGUUGAAGACUGAUUUGGCUCCUUGGUCGAGUGAAAAGACAAAGUCUUCAUGCUCCAGCCUAAUAACACUGAGAGAAGCUAGCAGUGAUUUGCAGUGCCAAGAAUUCAUUAAGAUCUUUUUACAGUGGAGGAGUCCUUGAACCUGAGCUGAUCUGUAUGCUGCAGCACGCUGCCAAACAAGCUGAGGGGACCAGAUUUCUGCUGCUGUGGAUGUGCUGUCUGUGCAUCUUCACAAGACGUGGAAAAGAAUGGGGUGUAACCCGCCUUUGCCUCUUGACCGCAGGAAAUAGACACCAUGAUCUACUCGACCAAAAGAAGUCAGAAAACGGAUGAAAACAAAGAAACAUGCCUCACAAUGAAAUAUUCUUGGACUAAUGGAUGAAUAUUUUUUUUAAAUGGACACCAGAAAACUGCGGCCUCCUUAAAAUGUGGAUUCUAAUCUAAAGUAUUAACAGUAUUCGUUUUAAACCAUAAAGCAGGAUUUUUCUGGGCUGUCUGAAUGUUUUUUAUUUGUAUUUUUCACUAAAUCGCUGCCUUCAGAUUUUUGUAACAAAAAACUAGUUUUUUUGAGUGAAGCAACAAGUUCAGGAGGUCGAUCAGGACUGUUGAUCCCCGUAAUGAAUCAAAAUAGGUCAAUUUUUACCAUCGAAUUGACACAGCAUAACCUUUGAUACACGCCAGAGCUGCAAAGUCAAGAUUACACCAGCUGGAGGAUCCAGACGCACAAAUCAACCUUUUGCUCACUUGUUGUUCUUCAACGCAGACAUAAAUAAACUGUCAUGGUCUCCAGCAAAAGCCUUAUCUCUCUGCCCAGACUGCUGGAUUCCUCACUCUGAAUGAAAGCGAAUCUACACAAAUCCUACAAGGCUUUACAUCUUAUAAGUUAAAUAAUCAUAUGGUUGAAUGAACAAGAUGUUUAAAUGAAAUGUUUGAAUAAUCUGUGCUUAAAUCAAUGAAUUUGAAAUGAAUAUUGUUCUUACAAUGAUCCAUUUAUAUCACAAAUCAGUAUGUGUUUGAUUUACCAAGUUAAUCAUUAUCUACACUCAUACACAUCUUCAUAAGAUACAAAUUAAGGUUAAGGUUCACCUCACAUAAGUCUUUUAAACCAUCCUCAUUCACAGUGUUAAGAAUCUUGUAUCUGAAGGAAGGCGUGGCUUUCUGAGGAAUGUUUUGGUAAAGCCUUCCAGACAUGGCACACACUGAUUUGCCAGAAUGGCCAGAAAUCAUAACAAAGUAGUUUGAUAAAACAAGAAUUACUUCCCGAGUAAUUCAGUUUGUAGCAGAGUUCCGAACCGGCCAAUUCAGGACCAGCAUCCUUGAUACAUUCAGUUAAAACCUGUUUGCACACUGCAAGCAGACACAGCCAGACGGCUCCCUAAGAACCACACCACUUUGGACACAAACAAGCAUUCCAGCUACUGUUGUGACCUGGAGACUUCUCAAGACUGGACAGUCGUAACUCGUAUCGGAGCUAAUCUACAAAAUCCUGAUGCCGUGAGGUCCACCCAACUUCUGGCAGUCCGGAUCUGCUGGGGGUCUCCGCCAGGGUUUGUAGACACAACAGAUUGCAUCUGAUGCCGUUUUUUUUUAUUAA